rnacentral:rRNA from 1 species
GGAAUAUUGGGCAAUGGAGGCAACUCUGACCCAGCGACGCCGCGUGCGGGAUGAAGGCCUUCGGGUUGUAAACCGCUUUCAGUAGGGAAGAAGCGAAAGUGACGGUACCUACAAAAGAAGCACCGGCUAACUAUGUGCCAGCAGCCGCGGUAAUACAUAGGGUGCAAGCGUUGUCCGGAAUUAUUGGGCGUAAAGAGCUCGUAGGUCGUUUGUUACGUCGGAUGUGAAAACCCGAGGCUCAACCUCAGGCCUGCAUUCGAUACGGGCAAACUAGAGUUUGGUAGGGGAGACUGGAAUUCCUGGUGUAGCGGUGGAAUGCGCAGAUAUCAGGAGGAACACCAAUGGCGAAGGCAGGUCUCUGGGCCAAUACUGACACUGAGGAGCGAAAGUCUGGGGAGCGAACAGGAUUAGAUACCCUGGUAGUCCAGACCGUAAACGGUGGGCACUAGUUGUGGGAACCUUCCACGGUUUCUGCGACGCAGCUAACGCAUUAAGUGCCCCGCCUGGGGAGUACGAUCGCAAGAUUAAAACUCAAAUGAAUUGACGGA